rnacentral:rRNA from 1 species
UACGUAGGUGGCAAGCGUUGUCCGGAUUUACUGGGCGUAAAGCGAGCGCAGGCGGACUCUUAAGUAGGAAGUGAAGGUUGGAGCUCAACUCUAACACUGCUCCCUAUACUGGGGGUCUUGAGUGCCGGAGAGGAAGACGGAACGACACGUGUAGCGGUGAAAUGCGUUGAGAUGUGUCGGAACACCAAUGGCGAAAGCAGUCUUCUGGACGGAUACUGACGCUCAGGCUCGAAAGCCAAGGUAGCAAACAAGG